rnacentral:tRNA from 1 species
AAGAUUUUAAGUUAAAUUUAUAAACUAUUAAUCUUCAAAAUUAAAAAUAAAAUUUUUUUAAAUCUUA